GACGAACGCUGGCGGCGUGCCUAAUACAUGCAAGUCGAACGCUUUGAUUUUCACCGGAGCUUGCUCCACCGAAAAUCAAAGAGUGGCGGACGGGUGAGUAACACGUGGGCAACCUGCCCAACAGAGGGGGAUAACACUUGGAAACAGGUGCUAAUACCGCAUAAUUUGUUUUUCCGCAUGGAAGAAUAAUAAAAGACGCUUCGGUGUCACUGUUGGAUGGGCCCGCGCUGCAUUAGUUAGUUGGUGGGGUAACGGCCUACCAAGACCAUGAUGCAUAGCCGACCUGAGAGGGUGAUCGGCCACACUGGGACUGAGACACGGCCCAGACUCCUACGGGAGGCAGCAGUAGGGAAUCUUCGGCAAUGGACGAAAGUCUGACCGAGCAACGCCGCGUGAGUGAAGAAGGUUUUCGGAUCGUAAAACUCUGUUGUUAGAGAAGAACAAGUGAGAGAGUUACUGUUCUCACCUUGACGGUAUCUAACCAGAAAGCCACGGCUAACUACGUGCCAGCAGCCGCGGUAAUACGUAGGUGGCAAGCGUUGUCCGGAUUUAUUGGGCGUAAAGCGAGCGCAGGCGGUUUCUUAAGUCUGAUGUGAAAGCCCUCGGCUCAACCGAGGAAGGUCAUUGGAAACUGGGGAACUUGAGUGCAGAAGAGGAGAGUGGAAUUCCAUGUGUAGCGGUGAAAUGCGUAGAUAUAUGGAGGAACACCAGUGGCGAAGGCGACUCUCUGGUCUGUAACUGACGCUGAGGCUCGAAAGCGUGGGGAGCAAACAGG
rnacentral:rRNA from 1 species